AUCAUCCCGGCGGGCGGCUGCGCUCCGCGGAAUGCCAGCCAGCAGGUGGAGACGCACGAAAGCAAUCCCGGGGCACGCACGGGGCUGCCUUGGACAUCGCAUUCCCAGAGCCCCGGCCGAGCGCUCCGCUGGAAAAGUUCCGAACGAAAAUCUUGGAUUGCUGACAGAGCGUGUGACGGAGCAGCCCCGGCCGCGGAGCCGUCCAGCACCUUUCAUGUCUCACUCCAGACCCACCCCCCAACACUUAAUCACUUGUGGUAAGUUUAUUGGAGUUUAUUUCCUUUAAAUGAGAAAGGCUCUUCAAAUCCUGAAAUUCCAGUCUCGGUGUUCCAAGGGAAGUGUAUUUUGCAGCUUUUCCAUCGUUUGGGAUUCUUCUCCUCCCCCUCCACACUGCCUCUUGCACUCUUGUCUUUGGGGAGCAGAGUUUAACAUGCCACGGAGGAGAUAGCCUGCAUGCAGAGUCCCUGAGACAUAAACACACUUCAGGAACAAAUUCACCCCAGCACGCUUCCAAAAGUGGAAACCGCAUUCCAUCUGCGCCCUUAUCAGCUGGUCAAUAGCUGGGAUGCUGAAUGGACAUUCCUCAAAGCGAAGAUUAUGAGAACAUGCAUUACUGCUCGGCGGUGGUUCACCAGCUGCCCAGCUCUCUCUGCCCAAGAGCAGAUGAGCUCAAAGUGGCUCGGGCUGGGGGCUUUGGGAAUGCUGUGCAGGAAUUUGCCACACGAAGCUGCAAAACUCUCUUCAGGUGACUUCUGUGGUGGUGAAGAAGCCCUGUGUUCAGUCAGCUCAGGUUUGCUGUGCUGUGACAUCAAUGACUUCCGGGCUGUCACCCUGACAGAAAAAUCAGAGGCCAUGUGAGCAAGCUUGUCACGCACCCUGCCUGAUGAUAAGG